rnacentral:rRNA from 1 species
UACAGAGGGGGCAAGCGUUAUUCGGAAUUAUUGGGCGUAAAGGGCGCGUAGGCGGCGAUUCAAGUGACGGGUGAAAUCCCUCGGCUUAACCGAGGAACUGCCUGUCAGACUGGGUUGCUUGAGCACAGUAGAGGCAGGUGGAAUUCCCGGUGUAGCGGUGGAAUGCGUAGAGAUCGGGAAGAACAUCGGUGGCGAAGGCGGCCUGCUGGGCUGUUGC